rnacentral:snoRNA from 1 species
AAGACUAUACUUUCAGGGAUCAUUUCUAUAGUUCAUUACUAGAUAAAUUUCUCUGAAUGUGUUAAGAAAAUGAAUUUGAGUCUUCAGGUUAAA